rnacentral:tRNA from 1 species
GCCCUCAUAGCUCAAUGGUAGAGCAGCUCCCUUUUAAGGAGUUGGUUGUAGGUUCGAAUCCUACUGAGGGCA